rnacentral:rRNA from 1 species
UACGGGGGGGGCAAGCGUUGUUCGGAAUUACUGGGCGUAAAGGGCUUGUAGGUGGCCAACUAAGUCAGACGUGAAAUCCCUCGGCUUAACCGGGGAACUGCGUCUGAUACUGGAUGGCUGGAGUGUGGGAGAGGGAUGCGGAAUUCCAGGUGUAGCGGUGAAAUGCGUAGAUAUCUGGAGGAACAUCUGUGGCGAAGGCGACUGCCUGGACCAGAACUGACACUGAGGCACGAAAGCGUGGGGAGCAAACAGG